UGGCGGACGGGUGAGUAAUACAUGGGAAUCUGCCUGGUAGUGGGGGACAACGUUUCGAAAGGAACGCUAAUACCGCAUACGCCCUACGGGGGAAAGGGGGGGAUCGCAAGACCUCUCGCUAUCAGAUGAGCCCAUGUCAGAUUAGCUAGUUGGUGAGGUAAAGGCUCACCAAGGCGACGAUCUGUAACUGGUCUGAGAGGAUGAUCAGUCACACUGGAACUGAGACACGGUCCAGACUCCUACGAGAGGCAGCAGUGGGGAAUAUUGGACAAUGGGGGCAACCCUGAUCCAGCCAUGCCGCGUGUGUGAAGAAGGCCUUAGGGUUGUAAAGCACUUUCAGUGGGGAGAAAAGUGAUUCACCUAAUACGUGAGUCAAUUGAUGUUACCCACAGAAGAAGCACCGGCUAACUCCGUGCCAGCAGCCGCGGUAAU
rnacentral:rRNA from 1 species